CGCCUUACCGCCUCCUCAGCGGCGAGGCAGGCGGACGCAAGAGGCAGAGGCCUGGCUGCGGCGGAAAGCGGACUACGCUUCCCGGCGUCCUCUGCGGCUCGGGGCGGCCUCGAGGAGCCUCGAGGGGAGCCCGGCGGCCUACUGAGGGACUGUGUCAUAAAUUCGCAAUGUUUGGGGAUUUAUUUGAUGAAGACUUCUCUAUUUUGUCAAGCAAUCAGUGUGGGAAGCCUAAGUCAAAACGCAAAGAUCCUGAACUUCCAAAUCCUAGAGAAAACACCAAUUUAAGUGGAAUAAAAAAUCAGGGUGGGACCUGCUACCUUAAUUCACUUCUUCAAACCCUGCUCUUCACACCAGAAUUUAGGGAAGCGUUGUUUUCCAUAGGCCCUGAAGAACUUGGCUCCUUGGAGGACACGCAUAAGCCUGAAUCAAAGGUUAGAGUAAUCCCAUUACAGCUGCAAAGAUUGUUUGCCCAGCUUUUGCUUUUAGACCAACAUGCUGCAUCCACAGCCGAUCUCACUGACAGCUUUGGGUGGAAUGGUAAUGAGGAAAUGAGACAGCAUGAUGUGCAGGAGUUAAAUCGGAUUCUGUUCAGUGCUUUAGAAACUUCCCUUGUGGGAACCUCUGGCCAUAAUCUUAUAAACCAACUGUACCAUGGGACAUUAGUUAAUCAGAUUGUUUGCAAAGAGUGCAAGAAUGUCAGUGAGAGGCAGGAGGAUUUCCUGGAUCUAACCGUUGCUGUGAAGGAUGUGUCUGGGUUGGAGGAAGCCUUAUGGAACAUGUAUGUGGAAGAGGAACAUUUUGAGAGAGAGAACCUGUAUCGAUGUGGAGCAUGUAAUAAACUGGUUGAAGCCAUAAAGUCUGCUAAACUACGCAAGCUGCCUCCAUUCCUCACCGUCUCCCUCUUGAGAUUUAACUUCGAUUUUGAGAAGUGUGAACGCUACAAAGAGACGAGAUGCUAUACAUUCCCAAUUCAGAUAAACCUCAAGCCUUUUUGUGAGCAGACUCAAUUGGAUGAUCUGGAAUACAUGUAUGAACUCUUUUCUGUUAUAAUACACAAAGGUGGCUGCUAUGGAGGACAUUAUCAUGUUUAUAUCAGAGAUAUUGAUGAACUGGGAAACUGGCAGGUGCUAGAGGAGGAUGGCAGCUUGAAUGAUGAAGAUAAAGAUUUGAAAGAAACUGAGAAUGACAAAGAAAAGGACAACCCAUUAACAAUUCUGAAAAACAUAUUAUUAGAGGUAGAGUCUACAGAAAUGGCUGUGGAUUGCUUGGCACAAAAGUUUUGGGAAAAGAAAAGUGUGUCCUGGAAUAAGAAGUAUCGCAAGCAGUAUGGGCCAAUUCGGAAGUAUUUACAGAACAAUUCCCAAGAUUUUCUUCUUAGUUCUGAUGGAAGCAAAGUCAGGUUGAAUGACCAAAGCCACUACCUCAGUUUCGGAUCACAAUCUCAAAGCCAUUUGCGGAAUGAAGAUGAGAAGAUGUCAUUGGGAAAAGCAUCAACAAAUUUAAAGGAACAUUUCUCUGAAUCUCAUUGGUUUGAUUUGAACGACUCCAAAGUUCAGCCAAUCAGGGAAAGAGAGAUUCAGAAGCAGUUUCAGGGUAAUGAGAGUGCCUACAUGCUGUUUUAUCGGAAAUCCCAAAUGAUGAGACCAUCUGAAGCUCGAGGAAAUCCAAGGUAUCGGGUUCCAAGCCACCUCUUGAAUGAAAUGGAUACUGCUAACAUCAAAUUGCAAAAAAAGCGGGAAGAAUGUGACUUGGCAGACAAUAAUAUCGAUUUGCAUCUCCAUAUAUGUUCUCAUUACAAAUUUUGCAAUGGGGCUCUUCAUCCUUUGCAUUCCCAGAAGGAAAGUGUUCUAGAUCUAACAUUCGAUAAGAGAAAAACAUUGGGAGAACUUCAACAAGCAGUUUUUCAGUUGCUGGAAUUUUGGGAAGGAGAUCUGGUUCUCAGCCUUGCAAAGUCUUUUCCAGCUGGACUGCAUAUAUACCAAAUCCUUGAGGGUGAUGAUUCCACUUUAAGUAGCACUGGGCUUUUCGAUGGAGCUGAUAUAUUUGUGUGGAAUGGAAAAGAGGUUGAUGGAGUGGAAGUUCAGACUGGCAUUGACCAUGAACCUUUUCUCAUAAAUGUUCUUCGUUUAGCUGGACAUAACGAAGGGCGAAAAGGGCAACAGUUUAUGGAGUCCCAGCAUGUUUUUUCAUGUAGUUUAAGCCUGAGAAUGAUUUGCGAAGCUUUAACGUCUUCUAAAGGGAUAAUCUUAAAAAGUCACUCAGGGUCUGAGAAAGAAGCUGACAACUGGAAAGUCAUUCCUGAGGAAGAUAUGGAAAAAACUCUCAGGGCAGUUGGCCUUACUGAUGGAUGCUCAAUUCUAGUUUUAGACAGCCAUGACCAAAGCAUGGUGAAUGUGACAGGCGGCAAUUUGACUGCUUUUACGCAUGAUAUCAGCUGGUUACAAGUUAAAAAAAUCUGUAAUUUGGAGGCUGAAGAGAUGCAAGUUAAAAUUACUGCAACCGUUGAAACAAUGAUGUCAGAUAUCCGAAUUAAGGCCAUUGAGGAAAUGCAGUUGGACAAGGAGCUAGUUAAUAAUAGCUGCCUCAGACCCAUUGGCAAAAAUGGAAAACUCCUCUGUCCAGUGCCUGAGGACUAUACGGUUAAAGAAGCAGAACUCAAAAUGGGAAGCUUACUAGGCCUUUGCUCUGGAAAAGCUCCAACAGCCACUCAGCUUUUCCUGUAUUUUAUUGUUGGUCAUGAUCUUCAGUGUAGUCCAGAAAAAGAAAUAGUGGUGGAGGAGACUGCCACUGUAAAAGAGUGUCUAAACCUAAUACUGAAGAAAUCUGACUUAACAGGAGACGACUGGCAUUUGAGAAAGAUUGAUUGGUGUUAUGAAGCUGGGGAACCAUUAAACGAGGAGAAUGCUACACUAAAGGAACUUAGUAUCUGCAAUGGAGACAUUUUGAAUGUUGCUGAGGGGAAGCUUCCACCAAAGGGAUUCUUGAAAGUACCUGUCUGGUGGUACAGACCUUUCUCUCAGGUGAAGCAUAUAAAUAAUAUUCAAGACCAAGUAAACUGUAUCAGCAAAAAAGUGGGACCAUCUGCAUCUAGAGAUUUACCAACAUUUUUGCAAAGUGAAGUUGACCUAUGUUAUGUGGGUGACAUAGAAAUCUCAGGAGAAGCUUUUUUAGAAGACUUGAAGAUUCAGGUGAUGACUUUGCCAUCCAUUCAAGAGUUUAGUAUUCCACUGCCAGAAUUCCUCCGUGUUUGGACAAUGGAAAAGAAGCAGCCUUGCAAACUUUUACGAAGCAACAAAGAGAAACUCCAUAAGCUCAAACUAGGAAGCAGAGUAGAAAUUUGUAUAGAGCCUUUAUUCAAGGAAGAGAAUCUUGGACCAAAGGAUUUACUUCUACGAGUACUGAUGAGUGUACCAGGGGAGAGAGAUUAUUAUCAUCCAGUUGAUUUAAUAUGGGAUAUUUCCAAAGAGUGUACAGCAUCUGCAUUGAGGGGAAAAAUUGCUGCAUAUUAUUCCUUGCCAGUGGAAAAAAUUGAAAUUGCUAAAUAUUCUCCUGGAAAAUUUGAAUGGAUGCCAAUAAGUAGUUGGACACAGCAAAUGUCAAAGAAGAAGAAAAAGAAGAAAAGUGACAGCUUACAGUCGAGCCCCUACAGCUUGAAGGAUGGAGACAUUAUUGGUGUGAAGGUAAAUGAAUCUCCUGAUUGAUGAUAAUACAGACUUUAGUACAAUUAAAGAUGAUAUCGGAAAACAAAUGCAGAAGCAGCUUACUAUUGAAAAAACAAGGCAAAGAGAGAGUGUACAGAAUGAUUGUUUCCAUGAAAAAAAGGUGACUAAGCAUCGUAAGCCUGAAGCAGCACUCUCCAUCAGUGUAGGGGUUUUCAGCUGACUCUUUGGGAUUUGGCAAACCUCACCAAUGCCUUCAUCAAUAGCAACGGACUUGCUUCAGCUUAACUAGCCAAGGAAUAAUCUUCCCUGGCACUGGCAUGUUUGAUACAACAGCCGGCAAAGGAAUGAUGGUGGUUGGGAUCUCCUUAUUAUAUCCUUCUGAGAGGAAGUGCUUUAGUUCUUACAGUUUCAGUGCUUACUCUCAGGGUGGAUGUCUGCACUUUAUCAACAAGAACACAUACGAUCACUUAACCUUUCAAAAGACUUGUUUUCUAAUAACCAUGUGCUUUAAUCCUGAUUUUGUGUUGUGUCAUCAUUGCAAAAGUGGUUUAUCUGCUCAUACAUCUAUGGAGAUGGGGGGGGGGGAGAAAUCUAAUGCUUGCACUUUCCCUUCCAUGCUGAAGUACUCAAAGAUAUUUUUAAAAGUCUAGUCAGAAGCAUUGAUGUGUACAGCCUAUUCAAAGGGAAAUUUCUCUGACCCCUCAAGACAGAGUGUAAUGGUUAUUAGCGAAAUUUAAUUUUGUUCUUCCUUUUAUUCCACUAAUCCAUCUGUAUCUCAUGCUUUAUUUAAUAGAAAAAUGCUAAAUGUAAGAUAUAAGCAUAUUCAUCUGUGAUAUAAUUUUACCAUUACAUUCUAAUCACCCAGCAAUUAACACUCUGAUUUGAUUUAAGGAAUGCCAAAGUUGAUAUAGUUCUAAAGACAACAUAAGAUACAAAAAGGGAAACACAUACAGCUAUGAUGUUUAUUCGUGGAUAGCACAUUACACGUAGACAGUUUGUGUUGAGCACAACAUGAGCUCAUCCUCAUUUGCAGCAUUUUUGGAAAAAUUCAAGUCUGCAAAAAAUUCUUGCUUUGUGCCUCAUCCCUGGAAGAUGGGAGUAGAGGUGGAUAGAACACAGUCUCUGUGUAGAGACAUCUAAGGCAUAGAUACAAUGUGUUUUCUUAGUUCGUGAUUACCAUACAUUUUCCUAGGCAAGGCUUUGUGCAGUAAAUAAAGUGAGAGCAUGCCUUUUUAUCCCUCUCCCCUGGCUUCUUUGUCCCACAAGAUGUUCACACUUGUAAGCAUAAGCAUACUGGAUUUGUAUCCUGUCCAAAUCUUGCAUCCAUAGAUAUCUACCUGCAUUGUGUGAUGAUGGAAGGGCCACCUCUUGCUUUUCCCCACAUGAAUGGGGAAGGGGGGUGAGAGAAGGGAGAAGUACUAUAUUUCUUUCAGGUCUUCGUAUAUUAGAUUUGUUCCACCAAAAUUCAGUAUAAUCCUGACUAAAUAACAGUGGGUUCUAUAAGGAAUUAUCCCUUCAUGAGCAGAAGGGCAUUUUACGGGCUCCCCAAACCACCCAGAGCAGAUUUGGGGAGACUUUGGGAUUGUGGCUGCUAGGGGGAAUCAGUAAAAAUGCUCUGUUCUGUGGGGUGGUUACAGUUUGUGCAAUUAUAAUUAUAAGUACUGUGAGGUAUUAUAUUACCAAAGUGAAUAGAUGGAAAACAGUAAAGGAGAGUGAGAGUAGGCCACUGGCUUUGGCAUAUCAUUUCCUAAAAGCAGCUAAUAUAUCACAUAUAUUUUGCUUAUGUAGAUCACAAAAAUGCUUCUCGGGCAUAAUCAUAUUUCUGCAUUAUCCCCAGUGAACAAAAUCCACCAUGAUAUAUUAUGCAUAGAAUAUUAAAUAUAGAAAUGUUUCUCUCAGAUUAUCCCACAGUAAUGGAUAACAUACUUACUGUUCUUGCUAAAGUAACUUGAAGAACUGGUGCAAGAAAUUGUUUUAUGCUGGUACCUCUGUGGCCUAUUUCCCUGAAGUAUUUAUUGUAACAGAUACUGUACACUUUGUUUUUUAUGAUCUGUAAAUGGCGGGCGUAACCCUUUGUAAGGUUACAUUGUUGGGGUUUAUAACUAACAGUAAAUAAUAUUUGCAAGUUAUUUCCAUAAAUUGAGGGUUUGGGCUGUUUUGCUUUUUGUGUUCUUGGUCUCUGAAACAAAUUUAUUUGGAACUAAUGCUGUCAGAUAAAUAUGUUUUAAAGAGCCAAAUGUUGCAAUCACAUAUAGAAGAAACUAAUGUAGUGAUCUCUACAACCAAUUUUUUGCUUAUUCAUCUCCUGCUAUGGAACCCUGAUGUCUCACAUACUGCAAAAUGUACCCAAGAUGUCACAAAAAUCUGUUGUCUAGAAAACAUUACACCUAGGAAAGGGGGCAAUUAUUUUUAUAUAUACACACACACAAAGAAUGUGCCUUUACUACAAUGUACUGCAGCGAUUGCUGCUUGAUUGUUUUUUUUCAAAAAUAUGGGAAGUUCCAUAAAUCAGUGUGUUUUUUUUAAGGAAUACCUUUUGAAUGGGAUGUUCAGGGUCCCAGAACAAUGGUUCUAUUAACAAUGCAAAGGUUUUUUUUAAUUAUUUGAUUUGUUUUCAAGUCUGAUCUUUCUUGUAGUUGCAAAAAAGAAUAAAGAAUUUAAAGGUU